GUGGGGAAUUUUGGACAAUGGGCGCAAGCCUGAUCCAACAAUGCCGCGUGCAGGAAGAAGGCCUUCGGGUUGUAAACUGCUUUUGUACGGAACGAAACGGUCCGGGUUAAUACCCUGGGCUAAUGACGGUACCGUAAGAAUAAGCACCGGCUAACUACGUGCCAGCAGCCGCGGUAAUACGUAGGGUGCAAGCGUUAAUCGGAAUUACUGGGCGUAAAGCGUGCGCAGGCGGUUUUGUAAGACAGGCGUGAAAUCCCCGGGCUCAACCUGGGAAUUGCGCUUGUGACUGCAAGGCUGGAGUGCGGCAGAGGGGGAUGGAAUUCCGCGUGUAGCAGUGAAAUGCGUAGAUAUGCGGAGGAACACCGAUGGCGAAGGCAAUCCCCUGGGCCUGCACUGACGCUCAUGCACGAAAGCGUGGGGAGCAAACAGGAUUAGAAACCCGGGUAGUCC
rnacentral:rRNA from 1 species